UGGUCUGAACUACUCAGGAGGCUAUGGUGGU
rnacentral:piRNA from 1 species